rnacentral:rRNA from 1 species
CCGGUACGAUUGGUUUUUGUUAAUUUCACCCCAACCCCAUUCUAUCUGGUCGAAUGCCGCAGCGCCCCGCCUCGCGUGAUCUCGAACAUCGGCGGAGGCGGGGCAAGUCCAGGCCUACACCCUCAGGUGAUAAGAAGAGAGGACGGAUAGGAGGAGGAUUGAACAACAACCGACAAACACAUAAGAGGAUGAAUACUCAGAAAAGGCAACACAAUAGAAACAUAACAGAAGAAUUCAUACAUAACACACAUAAUUCACAAAAGAGAUAAUAGAUGAUUAACAGAAUCACAAAUAAAGAGAGAACAUAGGUACACAACAACACAUAAUGGUUUAAGAAUAUAACAUACUACAUAACAGACACAACAACAGAGACACAACACACACACACGAAGAGAUUACACAACACAGAGCAGAUAGACACACACAACCUCUCACCCUUUGUGAGAGAGAACACACACAGAGAGAUAAUAUAUACAAAAACACAAAGAGAAUACAAGAGACACACACACACAGAGAGAAGAGAGAUAUGUCACAGACAAAAACAACCAUUUUAUGAAGAGAGAAACAACACACAACAUCAAUAAACAGACACAACCAAAAGAAGACAGACAUAUACAUCCCUGGGAUUUUUCUAGGCCCCAACCCCCCCCUUAAAAAUGUUUGUUUCCCCUUUGUAUUCUAAAAAAAACUUGGGCAAAACAUGCUCUUUCCCUUUCUUAUAUAAUUUUUAUUCCCUGUCAGACGAACGCUGGCGGCGUGCCUAAUACAUGCAAGUCGAGCGGACAGAUGGGAGCUUGCUCCCUGAUGUUAGCGGCGGACGGGUGAGUAACACGUGGGUAACCUGCCUGUAAGACUGGGAUAACUCCGGGAAACCGGGGCUAAUACCGGAUGGUUGUUUGAACCGCAUGGUUCAAACAUAAAAGGUGGCUUCGGCUACCACUUACAGAUGGACCCGCGGCGCAUUAGCUAGUUGGUGAGGUAACGGCUCACCAAGGCAACGAUGCGUAGCCGACCUGAGAGGGUGAUCGGCCACACUGGGACUGAGACACGGCCCAGACUCCUACGGGAGGCAGCAGUAGGGAAUCUUCCGCAAUGGACGAAAGUCUGACGGAGCAACGCCGCGUGAGUGAUGAAGGUUUUCGGAUCGUAAAGCUCUGUUGUUAGGGAAGAACAAGUACCGUUCGAAUAGGGCGGUACCUUGACGGUACCUAACCAGAAAGCCACGGCUAACUACGUGCCAGCAGCCGCGGUAAUACGUAGGUGGCAAGCGUUGUCCGGAAUUAUUGGGCGUAAAGGGCUCGCAGGCGGUUUCUUAAGUCUGAUGUGAAAGCCCCCGGCUCAACCGGGGAGGGUCAUUGGAAACUGGGGAACUUGAGUGCAGAAGAGGAGAGUGGAAUUCCACGUGUAGCGGUGAAAUGCGUAGAGAUGUGGAGGAACACCAGUGGCGAAGGCGACUCUCUGGUCUGUAACUGACGCUGAGGAGCGAAAGCGUGGGGAGCGAACAGGAUUAGAUACCCUGGUAGUCCACGCCGUAAACGAUGAGUGCUAAGUGUUAGGGGGUUUCCGCCCCUUAGUGCUGCAGCUAACGCAUUAAGCACUCCGCCUGGGGAGUACGGUCGCAAGACUGAAACUCAAAGGAAUUGACGGGGGCCCGCACAAGCGGUGGAGCAUGUGGUUUAAUUCGAAGCAACGCGAAGAACCUUACCAGGUCUUGACAUCCUCUGACAAUCCUAGAGAUAGGACGUCCCCUUCGGGGGCAGAGUGACAGGUGGUGCAUGGUUGUCGUCAGCUCGUGUCGUGAGAUGUUGGGUUAAGUCCCGCAACGAGCGCAACCCUUGAUCUUAGUUGCCAGCAUUCAGUUGGGCACUCUAAGGUGACUGCCGGUGACAAACCGGAGGAAGGUGGGGAUGACGUCAAAUCAUCAUGCCCCUUAUGACCUGGGCUACACACGUGCUACAAUGGACAGAACAAAGGGCAGCGAAACCGCGAGGUUAAGCCAAUCCCACAAAUCUGUUCUCAGUUCGGAUCGCAGUCUGCAACUCGACUGCGUGAAGCUGGAAUCGCUAGUAAUCGCGGAUCAGCAUGCCGCGGUGAAUACGUUCCCGGGCCUUGUACACACCGCCCGUCACACCACGAGAGUUUGUAACACCCGAAGUCGGUGAGGUAACCUUUUAGGAGCCAGCCGCCGAAGGUGGGACAGAUGAUUGGGGUGAAGUCGUAC